rnacentral:misc_RNA from 1 species
UCCGGUUUGUCACCGGCAGUCUCCCUAGAGUGCCCUUGCGUAGCAACUAGGGACAAGGGUUGCGCUCGUUGCGGGACUUAACCCAACAUCUCACGACACGAGCUGACGACAGCCAUGCAGCACCUGUGUUACGGCUCCCUUUCGGGCACACCCCCAUCUCUGAGGGCUUCCGUACAUGUCAAGGGUAGGUAAGGUUAUUCGCGUUGCAUCGAAUUAAUCCACAUCAUCCACCGCUUGUGCGGGUCCCCGUCAAUUCCUUUGAGUUUUAAUCUUGCGACCGUACUCCCCAGGCGGUCAACUUCACGCGUUAGCUGCGGUACUGAGAAAUCGCUUCCCCAACACCUAGUUGACAUCGUUUAGGGCGUGGACUAC